rnacentral:rRNA from 1 species
GACGAACGCUGGCGGCGUGCCUAAUACAUGCAAGUCGAACGCAGUGGGGACGGGUGAGUAACACGUGGGUAACCUCCCAUCAGAGGGGAUAACACGUGGAAACUGGUGCUAAACCGAUACUGAUGGAUGGACCCGGUGUGCAUUAGCCAGUUGGGGAGGUAACGGCACACCAAGGCCACGAUGCAUAGCCGACCGGAGAGGGGGACCGGCCACACGGGGACGGAGACACGGCCCAGACGCCUACGGUAGGCAGCAGUAGGGAAUCUUCGGCAAUGGAAGAAAGUCUGACCGAGCAACGCCGCGUGAGUGAAGAAGGGUUUCGGAUCGUAAAACUCUGUUGUUAGAGAAGCGUUAUCUAACCAGGAAGCCACGGCUAACUCCGUGCCAGCAGCCGCGGUAAUUC